AUGUUCACCUACUGCUCAGUCAUGAACAGUCUCCAAAGGUUGGUAGUGUUGAAAAUCCUGUGGGCGUCCAGUGUGACUGUGGUCAAGAACGCUAUGUUAGAAAUAGGAGCGAGCUUUGCCCAUCUUCUUGAUCCCGUGGUGUCAUCGAGCAAGGUCACCCUGACGCUUCUGCCUGGUCUUGGUGGUCCACAAGGAGGGGAGGGGUCAUCCUCUCCAAGGAACAAACCCUCUUCCCCUGACACAGAGAGCUCUGCUCCGCGUCGAUGAUGCCAAGUGGUGGGAGAUGUGUUUUUGCAGAAAGCUGCUUUUGUUUAAAAUCUGCAGCUCUGAUUUUCACAGCAGAUCUACUUUCCAAGAGCUCUAGGUCUUAAGCAGAGAGGAAAAUCCCACUGCUUGCUCACAUUUUUAUUCCUCUGAAUAAUCCCUCUACUCAGUGCCACACAGCAUCUUUUCCUCUACAGCAGCUUCUGGUUUCUGGAACUGUUUUCACAUUUGGAUCUUAGAUUUUUUUUAGUCUUACAUUUUAUUAGAGCCCUCUCAGCCUGGGAGGUGCCCCAGUGAGCAGCCCAUGGUUUGGACUCUAUAAGUCAAUGGCUCCUGCUACGAAUUCGGCUCCUUUCCAAAUUCUAAGAGAAUGCCAGCAGUUCUCUCCUUGGAAGUGUCCAUCUCCCAGAGGCUGGAAAUGGGAGAACCUGACACUUGCCCAUUUCUUCUUACACACACUAUUCUUUUUUUGAAUGAGCCACUUGCUUUCUGUCUCUUCUUCCCCGGUUCCGCCAAUAAUUCUUUGUUUCCCAUUACUCUAUGUGUGUUUAUUCCAAUACUGUUCCUCCUAGAACCAUCCCCACCACCACAGAUGCUGGUGUUGGGGUGAAGUGGGGAGGGAGAGGCUCAGAACUCG
rnacentral:lncRNA from 1 species